UAACAAGGAUUCCCCUAGUAACUGCGAGUGAAGCGGGAAAAGCUCAAAUUUAAAAUCUGGCGGUUUUCUGCCGUCCGAGUUGUAAUCUGGAGAAGCGUUUUCUGUGCUGGACCGUGUACAAGUCUCUUGGAACAGAGCGUCAUAGAGGGUGAGAAUCCCGUCCAUGACACGGACGCCCAGUGCUAUGUGAUACGUUUUCAAAGAGUCGAGUUGUUUGGGAAUGCAGCUCAAAAUGGGUGGUAAGCUCCAUCUAAAGCUAAAUAUUGGCGAGAGACCGAUAGCGAACAAGUACCGUGAGGGAAAGAUGAAAAGCACUUUGGAAAGAGAGUUAAACAGUACGUGAAAUUGUUGAAAGGGAAACGCUUGAAGUUAGUCGCGUCUUACUUGACUCAGCCUUGCCUCGGCUUGGUGUAUUUCAUGUGAGACGGGUCAACAUCGAUUUUGACCGGCAGAGAAGGGGGGCGAGAAUGUGGCAUUCUUCGGAGUGUGUUAUAGCUUACUCUCAUAUGUGUCGGUUGGGAUCGAGGCCCGCAGCGCGCCCUUGUGGCCGGAGGUUCGCCUCACGUUACGCGCUUAGGAUGUUGGCAUAAUGGCUUUAAGCGACCCGUCUUGAAACACGGACCAAGGAGUCUAACAUGCUCGCGAGUGUUAGGGUGGAAAACCCUUGCGCAGAAUGAAAGUAAAAGUUGGGAACCUCCGCAAGGGGGCGCACCGACGCCGGGCCCAGAAGUUUACGGACGGUGCUGCGGUAGAGCGCGUAUGUUGGGACCCGAAAGAUGGUGAACUAUGCCUGAAUAGGGCGAAGCCAGGGGAAACCCUGUGUGGAGGCUCGUAGCGAUUCUGACGUGCAAAUCGAUCGUCAAAUUUGGG
rnacentral:rRNA from 1 species